UACAGAGGGGGCAAGCGUUAUUCGGAAUUAUUGGGCGUAAAGGGCGCGUAGGCGGCCAUUCAAGUGACGGGUGAAAGCCCUCGGCUUAACCGAGGAACUGCCUGUCAGACUGGAUGGCUUGAGACCGGGAGAGGUGAGUGGAAUUCCCAGUGUAGCGGUGAAAUGCGUAGAUAUUGGGAGGAACACCAGUGGCGAAGGCGGCAUCCUGGACCGGCAUUGACGCUGAGGCGCGAAAGCCAGGGG
rnacentral:rRNA from 1 species